rnacentral:rRNA from 1 species
CCUACGGGCGGCAGCAGUGGGGAAUAUUGCACAAUGGGGGAAACCCUGCUGCAGCGACGCCGCGUGAGUGAAGAAGUAAUUCGUUAUGUAAAGCUCUAUCAGCAGGGAAGAAAAUGACGGUACCUGAGUACGAAGCCCCGGCUAACUACGUGCCAGCAGCCGCGGUAAUACGUAGGGGGCCAGCGUUAUCCGGAUUUACUGGGGGUAAAGGGAGCGUAGACGGCAGGGCAAGUCUGGAGUGAAAGGCGGGGGCUCAACCCCCGGACUGCUGUGGAAACUGUACGGCUGGAGUGCAGGAGAAGUAAGUGGAAUGCCUAGUGUAGCGGUGAAAUGCGUAGAUAUUAGGAGGAACACCAGUGGCGAAGGCGGCUUACUGGACUGUAACUGACGUUGAGGCUCGAAAGCGUGGGGAGCGAACAGGAUUAGAUACCCGAGUAGUC